rnacentral:lncRNA from 1 species
AGUGCGCCUGUAACACCAGGACGGACCAACGAGAAAUGGUUAAUUGCAACACAGUCCGGAAAAAGCAUGCCUCGAAAGGCAAAGGGCAAAAGGGAACGGCCUAAGUCGAGGUGGUGUGCUGGUGAAUGUCUUAACAACCAGACUUUUCAGGGAGGAAAGCCCUGAUUUGUAGCGUUUGCUGAUUCUCCGCAAAAGGACUGAACUUCUAGCUGGUUGAAUCACCUCUGUGGCCAGGUUAACACCGUAUGCUGAUGGGCUUGAGCUAUUUGAACAAGUCUCUGUGACGGGGACGGAAUGACCCUGGUUGGUUUAGGCACGCGAGACGUCUGUAAAAUCUGACUACAAGGCUGCUAGGCCAACGGGAAAGAUGCUGAGGGUUCAACGCCAUGCCCUCAACAAGUCAGUCCUCGAAUACAUUGUCAUCUCUUUGCUAAUCACAACAAUCAUCAUCACAGAAGAAUUCUGGGACCAAAUGUGAGGGGGUUCCUCCCUACCACCAAGCAGCGGACACCAGCUGGGUAUCCUCCUAUUCAAUUCCAACACUGUCUACCUGAGGAAGACACACCGGCACCAGUCAUAUGUCUUGGACUCCAGAACUUCUGACCAACCACUUUCAAGUUGGGGUUGCCAUGAUCCCAUCUUUGGGUUUGAAUAACUUGCUGGAGCAGCUCACAGAACUCAUGGAAACAUGUUUCCUGGUUUAUUAUAAAGGAUGUUGCAAAGGCUACAAGGAAGAGAUGUGUAGGGCAAAGUAUGGGAGGAGGGGCACAAAGCUUCCAUGCCCUCCAGAACCUCCACGAACGUGGUCAGCUAUCUAGAAGCUCUCCAAACCCAGUUCUAUUGGCCUUUAUGGGAACUUUAUGUUAUCAGCAUUCCUUCCUCCAAGGGAUGGGGCAGGAGCUCUCAGGAGGUAUUUAAGACCCACAAUCAGCAAGAUUAGAGUUCUGCCUUGGGGCAGGUGAAAGGAGAGCAGGAGAGGCCAGAGAGAUUCUGUUUCCUGAGGCCUGCCCCUGAGGCCUAACACAACUGGCAUUAUAACAAAAGACUUAACAAGGCUAUGGGAGUCAGGGACCGUGCUUGAAAAUGUGUGUAUGUAUGUGUGUGUAUACCUCGUAACACCACAAUACGCAAGUGACUUACAGCAGUCAGAAAUUAGGGGCUGAAAAUCAGAAUUGCAGUCAUUUGCAAAGAAUAAGAGAAGAAAUCUAUGAGUAGAUGCAAUCGGAGAAGGAAAGAGUAUACUACAGAAAGCAAAGGAUCAAACUUGGGAAUUAUCAUAUUGGGUUAGAACUGUGUACAGGGAGGAGUCAAAGAGUGUGUAUGCAUCUAAAUAUACACAUAAAUGCAUAGAUACACAGAAUUUUUAAAUUUCUGAUGCAGUUCUCUGCAAAUCAGGAGACCUGAGUUCAAAACUUUGCUGACACACCAUGUAACUUUGGACAAGUUACUUAACGUUGGGAGACCAAUUUAAUAUACCCACGUGGGUUAGACAGGUAACUGAGUAAAGCUGGCAACCUGAAGAGAAAAGCAAACACUGAGAAGGCCACUAGCUCUCGCCUGCUGUUUCCAGGACAGCAAACAGCAAAGAGGUGGCACAGUAUAGCAGUUAUAACCAUGAACUCUUUUGUGUGGAUGUUAAGUUUUCAUUUCCCUAGGGUAAAUACCUAGGAGAGGGAUUGCCGGGUUGUAUAGUAAACAUAUGUUUAUUUACAAGAAAUGGCCAAACUGUUGUCUAGAGUGUCUGUACCAUUUUGUACACCCACCAGCAAUGUAUGAAUGUUCUAGUUAUUCCAUAUCCUCACCAGCACUUGGUAUUGUCAUUUUUUGUUUUUAAUUUUAGCCAUUCUAACUGGUGUGGUUUUGAUUUACAUUUCCCCAACAGCUAAUGAUGAUCUUUUCACAUGCCUAUUUGCCACCCAUCUUUCUCUGAAGAAUUGCUUCUUUUCCCCAUUGUUUUGUUUUCUUAUUGUUGUAGUGAAAAUCUUUAUAUAUUCUGAACACAAAUCCUUUGUUGGUAUGUUUUGCAAGUACAGUAUUUUUCCCCAGUAUGUAGCUUGUCUUUCCCUUCUAUUAAGUGUCUUUUGCAGAGCAAAAUUUUUAAAUUUAAGAUUUUUUUUUUUUUUUUUUUGAGAUGGAGUCUCUCUCUGUCACCCAGGCCGGAGUGCAGUGGUGAUCUCGGCUCACUGCAACCUCUGCCUCCCAGAGUCAAGUGAUUCUCUUAUCUCAGCCUCCCAAGUAGCUGGGAUUACAGGCGCACGCCACCAAGCCCGACUAAUUUUUGUAUUUUUAGUAGAGAGGGGGUUUCACCUUGCAGGCCAGGCUGGUCUCAAACUCCUGACCUCGUGAUCUGCCCGUCUCGGCCUCCCAAAGUGCUG